AGGAACCCACAAUUUUAGGGAUCGUUUCUAUAGUGUAUUACUAGAAAAGUAUUUCUGAAUGUGUAGGGUACUAGAAACCACGAUGAUGCUUUUCAGGAAAAAAUGUUCUCUUUUGAGCGUGAGGCUGGCUCGUGGUGCUCCCUGAUGACAACUGCCGCUUCCCUUGAUGACUGUUCUCCUUUUCCUUCGGCAAAGUGAGAGGUAGAGAGCACAGGCUGAGUGGU
ensembl:snoRNA U3 Small nucleolar RNA U3